CAGCCAGAGCCCUGACUUGAACCCAAUUGACCAUUUCUGGAAAGACCUGAACAUGGCUGUCCACCAACGUUCACCAUCCAACCAGACAGAACUGGAGAGGAUCUGCAAGGAAGAAUGGCAGAGGAUCCCCAAAUCCAGAGAGCUUGGAGGAGAAUGCUCCCCUGCAUCCCUUCACCUCCUGCCAUGCUUGAAAAUGAAGGCUUUAAUAGGGACCAGAUGCUGUUCCUUAUUGACCUGAGGACAUCAUGAUGUUGUCUUUCCUGUGGUUGGCACAUCAGCGAAGGUGGAAGCCCUCCAAUUCCUCCGUGAGUCCAAAGAGGCAAGUCAAAGGUGCCACGAAGAGUUGCUGGCUCAACUGAAGUCAGCCCAGCAAGGGCUUGAGGCCGAUGGGUCAACUGAUAGAUCAACUUUAAGUUAUAUUGAUAACACUUUUCUUACAGUUUACAUUUUAUGUUUACACUUUUGUACAAUGUUCACUACCUUACUACCAAGAGAAACUUUGUUUAACCCAAUUUGCAUCUUAUGUUGUGUUUUUGGAAUAUUUUAUUAAACUGUAUUUAUUA